rnacentral:rRNA from 1 species
CGGGUGCACUGAUCCGGGCCGGGCCUUUCCCUCUGUGGAACCCCAUGGCCUUCACUGGCUGUGCGGGGGAAACAGGACUUUUACUGUGAAAAAAUUAGAGUGCUCCAGGCAGGCCUAUGCUCGAAUACAUUAGCAUGGAAUAAUAGAAUAGGACGCGUGGUUCUAUUUUGUUGGUUUCUAGGACCGCCGUAAUGAUUAAUAGGGACAGUCGGGGGCAUCAGUAUUCAAUUGUCAGAGGUGAAAUUCUUGGAUCUAUUGAAGACUAACUACUGCGAAAGCAUUUGCCAAGGAUGUUUUCAUUGAUAAGGAACGAAAGUUAGGGGAUCGAAGACGAUCAGAUACCGUCGUAGUCUUAACUAUAAACUAUGCCGACUAGGGAUCGGACGAUGUUAUUUCUUGACGCGUUCGGCACCUUUCGAGAAAUCAAAGUGCUUGGGCUCCAGGGGGAGUAUGGUCGCAAGGCUGAAACUUAAAGAAAUUGACGGAAGGGCACCACCAGGGGUGGAACCUGCGGCUUAAUUUGACUCAACACGGGGAAACUCACCAGGUCCAGACACAGUGAGGAUUGACAGAUUGAGAGCUCUUUCUUGAUUCUGUGGGUGGUGGUGCAUGGGCCGUUCUUAGUUGGUGGAGUGAUUUGUCUGCUUAAUUGCGAUAACGAACGAGACCUUAACCUGCUAAAUAGCCCGUACUGCUCUGGCAGUUCGCCGGCUUCUUAGAGGGACUAUCGG